GGGACCAUAGCUCAGCUGGGAGAGCAGUAGACUGAAGUAUAUCUUACGCAUUCUAAAGGUCCCGCGUUCGAUCCGCGGUGGUCCCA